rnacentral:sRNA from 1 species
UUUUAAUGGUGUUAAUUAUUUUUAUAUUUAAUGACUUUUCUUUCUCUGGGGAUGUGGAGCCAAAUUGCAUAACCCAUCAGUCUAACAAAUCUUCUCCCUUUUUAGGCAUACAUCAAAAUUUAUCAAGGAGAAGAACUUCCACAUCCAAAGUCCAUGCUUCAGGCAACAGCUGAAGCUAAUAAUCUUGCUGCAGUUGCAGGAGCAAGAGAUACCUAUUGUAAAAGUAUGGAACAGGUAUGUGGAGGGGACAAGCCUUACAUUGCACCUUCAGAUCUGGAGCGAAAACACUUGGAUCUCAAGGAAGUGGCGAUAAAACAAUUUCGUUCAGUAAAAAAGAUGGGUGGAGAUGAGUUCUGCCGUCGUUAUCAGGACCAGCUUGAAGCUGAAAUUGAAGAAACCUAUGCAAAUUUUAUAAAGCACAAUGAUGGCAAAAAUAUCUUCUAUGCUGCUCGUACCCCAGCCACACUGUUUGCGGUCAUGUUUGCUAUGUAUAUAAUCUCAGGACUGACUGGCUUCAUUGGCCUAAACUCUAUAGCCGUCUUGUGUAACCUUGUCAUGGGGUUAGCACUGACAUUUCUUUGUACUUGGGCAU